rnacentral:rRNA from 1 species
ACAUAGCCACUAGCCAUAAAACAAACAUUAGAGGUAAUACCUGCCCAGUGAGGAGUAACCACCCUUCAACGGCCGCGAAAAACAACCGCGCAAAGGUAGCACAAUCACUUGUCUCCCAAAUAGAGACUCGCAUGAAAGGUCACAUGAGAAAGAACCUGUCUCCUAAGGCCAGUCAAUGAAACUGAUCUACCAGUACAAAAGCUGGUAUAAAAAAAUAGGACAAAAAGACCCUGUGAAACUUCAAAUUUACAUCAACCCCCCCCCUUGAACAAAAUUUUUAGUUGGGGCAACUAAAGAGAAACAAAACCUCUUCAUCACUACCAAGACCAACAAGUCUAGGCAAAACCUACCCACCCCAUUAAACGACCCAGUACAACUGACCAAAGAACCAAGCUACUCCAGGGAUAACAGCGCCNCACUCUUUUAAAGUCCAUAUUAACAAGAGUACCUACGACCUCGAUGUUGGAUCAGGGCAACCCGAUGGUGAAAAAGCUAUCAAAGGUUCGUUUGUUCAACGAUUAAAGCCCUACGUGAUCU